CGCUGAACUUAAGCAUAUUAAUAAGCGGAGGAAAGAAACUAACAAGGAUUCCCCUAGUAACGGCGAGUGAAGCGGGAUGAGCUCAAGCUUAAAAUCUCUGUGCCAGUUUGGCAUGGCGAAUUGUAGUCUAUGGAGGCGCUGUCAGUGCGAUUGUUCGGGGUAAGUUCCUUGGAAGAGGACAGCAUCGAGGGUGAUACUCCCGUAUGUACCUGUUCAGUUGCGCGUACGACACGUUUUCUUUGAGUCGCGUUGUUUGGGAAUGCAGCGCAAAGUAGGUGGUAAAUUCCAUCUAAAGCUAAAUAUUGGUGCGAGACCGAUAGCGAACAAGUACCGUGAGGGAAAGAUGAAAAGAACUUUGAAAAGAGAGUUAAAGAGUACCUGAAACUGCUGAAAGGGAACCGAAUCGUAUCCAGUGUCUAUAAUCCAUGGCAUAUUUCAUUGGCGAGUGAGUGCGUGCAGCGUUUUGGAAGUGGUUUUCCGCUCCUGUCGUUGUUGUGCAUUUGCUUGCUGGUGCCCUGUGCUGUGGUGGGACGUCAGAGUCAGUUUGUAUGUUGCGGGAAAUGGUUAUUGGGGAGGUAGGUCACUUCGGUGGCUGUUAUAUCCUGGUAACUAGUCGUCGUGGCUGAGACUGAGGUGCCUACAAUGUGCUUUCGAGUGUGCGGGAUUCUCGUGUGGCUGUUUGCUUUGAUAGCUUGCUAUGUUGGUGAAUAAGUCGUGCGAUUGAGACUUGUAUUAACUUGUUGCCGUUCGGGACUUUGACGAAAUGGAGCGAUCCGACCCGUCUUGAAACACGGACCAAGGAGUCUAACAUGUGUGCAAGUGUUAGGGUGUGGAAACCCCAGCGCGAAAUGAAAGUAAAGGACAGCCUAGCUGUCUGAGGUAGGAAACCUUUGUUUACAGGGGUGGCACUAUCGACCGAUCAUGAACCUUCGUGGUGAAAGAUUUGAGUUUGAGCACAUAUGUUGGUACCCGAAAGAUGGUGAACUAUGCCUGAGUAGGGUGAAGCCAGGGGAAACUCUGGUGGAGGCUCGUAGCGAUUCUGACGUGCAAAUCGAUCGUCAAACUUGGGUAUAGGGGCGAAAGACUAAUCGAACCAUCUAGUAGCUGGUUCCCUCCGAAAUUUCCCUCAGGAUAGCAGCAACUUAUUUACGAUAGUUUUAUGAGGUAAAGCGAAUGAUUAGAGGAUUUGGGGAAGAAACUUCCUUGACCUAUUCUCAAACUUUAAAUCUGUAAGACCUGCAGGUUUCUUAAUUGAACUUGUGGAUGUGAAUAUCAAGUUGCUAGUGGGCCAUACCGGGUAAGCUGGUCUGGCG
rnacentral:rRNA from 1 species